rnacentral:rRNA from 1 species
UACGUAGGUGGCGAGCGUUGUCCGGAUUUACUGGGCGUAAAGAGCUCGUAGGCGGUGUGUCACGUCGGCCGUGAAAACCUGGGGGCUUAACUCUGGGCGUGCGGUCGAUACGGGCAUCACUAGAGUUCGGCAGGGGAGACUGGAAUUCCUGGUGUAGCGGUGAAAUGCGCAGAUAUCAGGAGGAACACCGGUGGCGAAGGCGGGGUCUCUGGGCCGAUACUGACGUGAGGAGCGAAAGCAUGGGGAGCGAACAGG